rnacentral:misc_RNA from 1 species
GUAGGUGAACCUGCGGAAGGAUCAUUAAAGAGUUUAUGGACUUCGGUCUACUACUCCACCCUUUGUUUACAAUACCAUUGUUGCUUUGGCAGGCCCGUCGAAAGACAACCGGCUUUGGCUGGUCAGUGCCUGCCAGAGGACCUAAAACUCUUGAUUUAUUAUUGUCUGAGUACUAUAUAAUAGUUAAAACUUUCAACAACGGAUCUCUUGGUUCUGGCAUCGAUGAAGAACGCAGCAUCUGACUGACUGG